rnacentral:rRNA from 1 species
GACGUAGGUGGCGAACGUUAUCCGGAAUUAUUGGGCGUAAAGGAUGCGUAGAUGGUGUAGUAAGUUAUCGGUGGCAAAUCGAGGCUCAACCUGGGAAUGGCAAUGGAUACUGGGUCGCUAGAGUGUGAUAGAGGAUGGUGGAAUUCCCGGUGUAGCGGUGAAAUGCGUAGAGAUCGGGAGGAACAUCAGUGGCGAAGGCGGCCAUCUGGAUCAACACUGACGCUGAGGCACGAAAGCGUGGGGAGCAAACAGG